GCUCCAGUGGUGUAGACCGGUCAAGCAUAUCGGCCUUUCAAGCCGGGGAUCCCGGGUUCAAAUUCUAUGUGAUGAAAAUCCCGGCUGGAGCA
rnacentral:tRNA from 1 species